rnacentral:misc_RNA from 1 species
UCAUGCAGCAAAAAGAGGCCUUGAACAGACGGUUAAGUUACUCCUUUCACAUAGAGCUAAUGCAUUGCUAAUGAAUGAUGACUGCCAAACUCCCCUUGAUGUUGCCAGAAUUAAAGGUUUCAGCAAUGUUGUCCGUGCAAUUGAGAGCCAUAUUUGCUUAUUUUCUGGUUGGCUACGGGAACUUUAUGGGCCUGGAUUCCUUGAACUAUUGGCACCACAGUUGCUUAGUCGGAAAGUUUGGGUGGUCGUCUUACCAUGUGGUUCCCGAAAUCUCAGAAAGCCUUUCAGGUUGGAGCUUGCUAUAUAUUCAGCUGUCCAGGAUGCUCAGCCCCGCACAAUAGUUGCUCUGUGGAAGGCCAAUAUGGAAGAACCAAAUUUCAGCCAACCUGAUUCAGCAGUUAUCAUAUCCGAUAUUUCAAACAUCCCGAAGCGCUGGAGGCGAAGGCGAGGGAUAAUGCCCUCCCAAUUGAUAAAGAGUAGACUCCGAGGAGCUAGGCGAGCAAGGAUCAAACUUACAGCAGUCCAGGAAAGCGAAAAGCAGCAAUUGCAAUCUUUCUGCAAUGCAUGCAAGGGAAUACCUCAGGUCAUGCAUCCAGCAUUUCCUUUCAGUUCUCAACCCCCUAUGGUCCCUGCAACUGCUCCAUCAACCACAGAGGAUGUGGAAUUAGCAAUGGCGAUCACUGCCUCUCUUCAGUCUGCUUCACAACAAAGACCAACCUAUCACGAGAAUCACACGGGAUCAGGAGCAGAAACAUCAAUGGGUUGGAUUAACCCUGUUGAGGUUGCCAGUCAUGAUGAUAGCUCUUUUAAAGGGGCUUCACAAAAAGCUAGUAGUAGUGGCUGUCAAGUUGAGGAAGCCAGUUCAAGUGGCACUCAAGUAGAGCAAGUCCAGGUUCCGAGUGAAAUGUCUACUGUAGUCCAAUCAAUGCCAGAGAAUCCAGUUACCGCAUCUGUCCCAACAGCUCCUCCUCUUACAGACGACAUAAUAGACAAUGGGCCAAUUCAUUAUCCAUCAAUCGACUCCAGUCCAAUUGACUUGUCUUCUGUGACUGUUCAGAACUCUGGAGCACAUGAAAGCAAAAAUCCUGACGGUGCUUCUUCAUCUUGUGUAAUAUGCUUAGAUGCUCCUGUGGAAGGAGCUUGCAUCCCUUGUGGCCACAUGGCUGGGUGCAUGUCGUGUUUGAAUGAAAUCAAGGGAAAGAAGUGGGGCUGCCCUGUCUGUCGUGCUACUAUAGAUCAGGUGAUAAGGCUAUAUGCUGUUUAACAGUUGAAGCAGCAAAUGAUUGAAGCAGUAAACGCAUAUGCAGAAGUUCUGCGUCAUUGAAAAUUCGUGAGUGUUGUAUUAUGUAUCGUGUAUACAUAUAUAUAUAUAUGCUACUACCUGUGUUCAAGAUUUCCGAAAGGUAGGGAAAUGCUACGCUUAUCUUCAUGGUUUUCCAUCCCGGAUAAGAACGUAAAUUUCUUGUGCGGAGAAGUGAAACUGUUACUGGGAUUACACAACAUAUAUUGAUAUGAUCCUGUGUUAUGUGUAGGCUGGUGAUGUUUAUUCUCUUAUUAUUAUGUACCACUUUAAAUUUGUGAUGCAUCAGAACUAGAAAUGUUUCUCAUUGUCAUGGGGAUUAUAUUUAUGGGAAAAUAUUGUUUUAUACACCUUCACAAAAAAAGAAGGUUAUUAUAAAGUACCCCUAUUUCUUAAAUGAGACAAGGGAGAUAGAAUACCCCAUAAAAUUUACUGUUACAUAUGUAAGUGACAAG